ensembl:lncRNA
ACACACUGCUCAGGCUGGGUAUGAGGCAGGCUGGAAUGUUGCCUAGGAAGCAUUGCCAACAUUGUACUGUGCAGGAAGAAGGAGAACUGAAAUUCUCCAGGAAAUGUGGACUGACCCAGGUGAAGGUUAGAGCUUACAGUUUACUUUGGGAGAUCCCGAUUAACAGAAGAUUUCAGAAAAGGGGCUUCCCUGGUGGUCAGUGGUAAAAAAUCUCCUGUGAUGCAACAGACAUGGGUUCGAUCCCUAAUCCAGGAAGAUCUCACAUGC